rnacentral:rRNA from 1 species
GACGUAGGAGGCGAGCGUUAUCCGGAUUCACUGGGCGUAAAGCGCAUGUAGGCGGCUGGACAAGUCCUGCGUAAAAGCCCCUGGCUCAACUGGGGGAGGUCGGAGGAGACUGUUCGGCUGGAGGGCAGCAGAGGCAGGUGGAACUCCCGGUGUAGCGGUGGAAUGCGUAGAGAUCGGGAAGAACACCAGUGGCGAAGGCGACCUGCUGGGCUGCACCUGACGCUGAGAUGCGAAAGUGUGGGGAGCAAACGGG